rnacentral:tRNA from 1 species
GCAUCGGUGGUUCAGUGGUAGAAUGCUCGCCUGCCACGCGGGCGACCAGGGUUCGAUUCCCGGCCGAUGCU